GAACUGGUGGUUCAGUGGUAGAAUUCUUGCCUCCCAUGCAGGAGACCCAGGUUUGAUUCUUAGCCAGUGCA
rnacentral:tRNA from 1 species